rnacentral:rRNA from 1 species
CCUACGGGUGGCAGCAGUGAGGAAUAUUGGUCAAUGGGCGGAAGCCUGAACCAGCCAAGUCGCGUGAGGGAAGAAUGUCCUAUGGAUUGUAAACCUCUUUUGUCAGGGAGCAAAGUCACCCACGUGUGGGUGUUGGAGAGUACCUGAAGAAAAAGCAUCGGCUAACUCCGUGCCAGCAGCCGCGGUAAUACGGAGGAUCCGAGCGUUAUCCGGAUUUAUUGGGUUUAAAGGGAGCGUAGAUGGGUUGUUAAGUCAGUUGUGAAAGUUUGCGGCUCAACCGUAAAAUUGCAAUUGAUACUGGCAGUCUUGAGUACAGUUGAGGUAGGCGGAAUUCGUGGUGUAGCGGUGAAAUGCUUAGAUAUCACGAAGAACUCCGAUUGCGAAGGCAGCUUACUAAACUGCCACUGACAUUGAUGCUCGAAAGUGUGGGUAUCAAACAGGAUUAGAUACCCUAGUAGUC